GAAAGUUGUAGCAGGACAAUAGUUCUUCAUGGAAAUCUUCAUCCUAGCCACAUGGGAAAUAUGAAAAAAUGCGCAAUGCUCUUAUCUUCGAUGUUGUGUGUCCAAGCAUCAAUCUCUGGACUGUGAAGUUUAGAGAGCAAGCUCUUCUCCAAGAUAUUCAUUUUAGGGAAGAUCGUCAACUUGUUUUUUAUGCAAUGGCUUAACUCAGUGUUGUAAUUCCCCUUUUCUCCCUAUCCUCUCCCACCCUCUCCUAUAAGUAUG
rnacentral:lncRNA from 1 species